rnacentral:rRNA from 1 species
UACGGGGGGGUAAGCGUUGUUCGGAAUUACUGGGCGUAAAGGGCUCGUAGGCGGCCAACUAAGUCGGACGUGAAAUCCCUCAGCUUAACUGGGGAACUGCGUCCGAUACUGGAUGGCUUGGAUUUGGGAGAGGGAUGCGGAAUUCCAGGUGUAGCGGUGAAAUGCGUAGAUAUCUGGAGGAACACCGGUGGCGAAGGCGGCAUCCUGGACCAAUAUUGACGCUGAGGAGCGAGAGCCAGGGGAGCAAACGGG